UACGUAGGUGGCAAGCGUUGUUCGGAAUAACUGGGCGUAAAGGAUGCGUAGGCGGUUAAACAAGUUAUAUGUUAAAUAUAUAGGCUUAACCUGUAGAAAGCAUAUAAAACUGUUUAACUAGAGUGCAGGAGAGGUAAGUGGAAUUCCUAGUGUAGCGGUGAAAUGCGUAGAGAUUAGGAAGAGCACCAGUGGCGAAGGCGACUUACUGGACUGUAACUGACGCUGAGGCAUGAGAGCAUGGGGAGCAAACAGG
rnacentral:rRNA from 1 species